GGGGUCAUCGUCUAACAGGCAGGAUCCCGCCUUUGCACGGCGGAAAUCUGGGUUCGAAUCCCAGUGACUCCA
rnacentral:tRNA from 1 species